GGGCCUAUAGCUCAGGGGUAGAGCAAUCGGCUCAUAACCGAUCGGUCCCUGGUUCGAUCCCAGGUGGGCCCACCA
rnacentral:tRNA from 1 species